rnacentral:rRNA from 1 species
AACGAACGCUGGCGGCAUGCCUAACACAUGCAAGUCGAACGAAGCCUUCGGGCUUAGUGGCGCACGGGUGCGUAACACGUGGGAAUCUGCCCUUCGGUUCGGAAUAACAGUUAGAAAUGACUGCUAAUACCGGAUGAUGACGAAAGUCCAAAGAUUUAUCGCCGAAGGAUGAGCCCGCGUAGGAUCAGGUAGUUGGUAGGGUAAUGGCCUACCAAGCCGACGAUCCUUAGCUGGUCUGAGAGGAUGAUCAGCCACACUGGGACUGAGACACGGCCCAGACUCCUACGGGAGGCAGCAGUGGGGAAUAUUGGACAAUGGGCGAAAGCCUGAUCCAGCAAUGCCGCGUGAGUGAUGAAGGCCUUAGGGUUGUAAAGCUCUUUUACCAGGGAUGAUAAUGACAGUACCUGGAGAAUAAGCUCCGGCUAACUCCGUG